rnacentral:rRNA from 1 species
AUUGAACGCUGGCGGCAUGCCUUACACAUGCAAGUCGAACGGUAACAGGUCUUCGGAUGCUGACGAGUGGCGAACGGGUGAGUAAUACAUCGGAACGUGCCCGAGAGUGGGGGAUAACGGAGCGAAAGCUUUGCUAAUACCGCAUACGAUCUACGGAUGAAAGCAGGGGGCCGCAAGGCCUUGCGCUCAUGGAGCGGCCGAUGGCAGAUUAGGUAGUUGGUGGGAUAAAAGCUUACCAAGCCGACGAUCUGUAGCUGGUCUGAGAGGACGACCAGCCACACUGGGACUGAGACACGGCCCAGACUCCUACGGGAGGCAGCAGUGGGGAAUUUUGGACAAUGGGCGAAAGCCUGAUCCAGCCAUGCCGCGUGCAGGAUGAAGGCCUCGGGUUGUAAACUGCUUUGUACGGACGAAAGACUCUUCUAAUAAAGGGGUCCAUGACGGUACCGUAAGAAUAAGACACCGGCUAACUACGUGCCAGCAGCCGCGGUAAAC